rnacentral:rRNA from 1 species
CGAAAGCCUGACGGAGCAACGCCGCGUGAGGGACGAAGGCCUCUGGGCUGUAAACCUCUUUUCUCAAGGAAGAAGAUAUGACGGUACUUGAGGAAUAAGCCACGGCUAAUUCCGUGCCAGCAGCCGCGGUAAUACGGGAGUGGCAAGCGUUAUCCGGAAUUAUUGGGCGUAAAGCGUCCGCAGGCGGCUUUUCAAGUCUGCUGUUAAAGCGUGGAGCUUAACUCCAUCAUGGCAGUGGAAACUGAAAGGCCUGAGUAUGGUAGGGGCAGAGGGAAUUCCCGGUGUAGCGGUGAAAUGCGUAGAUAUCGGGAAGAACACCAGUGGCUAUUGCGCUCUGCUGGGCCAUUACUGACGCUCAUGGACGAAAGCCAGGGGAGCGAAAG